UGGGGAAUAUUGGACAAUGGGCGAAAGCCUGAUCCAGCCAUGCCGCGUGUGUGAAGAAGGUCUUCGGAUUGUAAAGCACUUUAAGUUGGGAGGAAGGGCAGUAAGUUAAUACCUUGCUGUUUUGACGUUACCGAC
rnacentral:rRNA from 1 species